rnacentral:rRNA from 1 species
GCAAGUCGAACGGUCUCUUCGGAGAUAGUGGCGAACGGGUGAGUAACGCGUGGGAACAUGCCCUUGGGUACGGAACAACAGUUGGAAACGACUGCUAAUACCGUAUGAUGUCUUCGGACCAAAGAUUUAUCGCCCAAGGAUUGGCCCGCGUUAGAUUAGAUAGUUGGUGGGGUAAUGGCCUACCAAGUCUACGAUCUAUAGCUGGUUUGAGAGGAUGAUC